GGGGCCCCCGUCAUGCCGUUAAACACGCCCUCCUAACCAAUCCACCCCGCCGCAUUUUCCCCCUUUCCCCCCUCGUUUUGCCAUCCCCCGACUGCGGCCAUGGUGACGUUCAAAUGAAUGCGUCGCCUAGGUUGCAGGGGGCCCCCGUCAUGCCGUUAAACACGCCCACCUAACCAAUCCACCCCGCCGCAUUUUCCCCCUUUCCCCCCUCGUUUUGCCAUCCCCCGACUGCGGCCAUGGUGACAUUCAAACGAAUGCGUCGCCUAGGUUGCAGGGGCCCCCCGUCAUGCCCUGAAACACACCCUCCUAACCAUUCCACCCCGCCGCGUUUUCCCCCUUUCCCCCUCGUUUUGACAUCCACGGACUGUGGCCAUGGUGACGUUCAAAUGAAUGCGUCGCCUAGGUUGCAGGGGGCCCCCGUCAUACCCUUAAAUCGCCCUCCUAACCAUUCAGCUCCGCCACGUUUUACCCCUUUCCCCCCUCGUUUUGCCAUCCCCCGACUAAGGCCAUGAUGACGUUCAAACGGUGUCAGAAGUAGGCUGGGCAGGGAGGGUGUGCACAUGGGAUGUGCCUGGCAUGCACCUUGAUGGGCCAGCAGCCUUGUACAGGCUGUGCACCCCAUCUGGUAGCGCUGGGUUGACCAGGUGUGCAUGGUGCAGGUGGCGAGCCAGCGCCUCCAUACAGGCGUAUGUUCCUCUGCCCCUGCAUUCUGGCAUCCUGUUGUUGUUGGAGGGGUUGCGCUGUGUGGCUGUAAUGUGUCAGAAGUACAGGCGCGGAGGCGGCGGGAAUAAGCAACGG
rnacentral:lncRNA from 1 species